rnacentral:rRNA from 1 species
CGUGAGUGAUGAAGGCUUUCGGGUCGUAAAGCUCUGUCAAGUGGGAAGAAACCAUAUGGUGUUAAUAUCGCCAUAUGCUGACGGUACCAUUGAAGGAAGCACCGGCUAACUCCGUGCCAGCAGCCGCGGUAAUACGGGGGGUGCGAGCGUUAUUCGGAUUUACUGGGCGUAAAGAGCGCGUAGGCGGUCUUUUAAGUCAGGUGUGAAAGCCCGGGGCUCAACCCCGGAAGUGCACUUGAAACUAAGAGACUUGAGUAUGGGAGAGGGAAGUGGAAUUCCUGGUGUAGCGGUGAAAUGCGUAGAUAUCAGGAGGAACAUCGGUGGCGAAGGCGACUUCCUGGACCAAUACUGACGCUGAGGCGCGAAGGCGUGGGGAGCAAACAGGAUUAGAUACCCUGGUAGUCCACGCAGUAAACGGUGAACACUAGGUGUAGCGGGUAUUGACCCCUGCUGCGCCGCAGCAAACGCAUUAA